GCUGGGUGUGGUGGCGCAUGCCUGUAGUCCCAGCUGUCAGGAAGAUGAAGCAGUAGGAUCACUUGAGCCCAGGAGUUCUAAGCUAUAAUGUGCUAUGCUGAUCGGGUGUCUGCAAUAAGUUUGACAUCAACAUGGUGACCUCCUGGGAGCAGGGGACCACCAGUUGCCUAAGGAGAGGUGAACCAGCCUAGGUCGGAAACAAGUAGGUCAAAACUCCUGUGCUGAUCAGUAGUGGGAUCACACCUGUGAAUAGCCAUUGCACUCUAGCCUGGGCAACACAGCAGGAUCCAUCU
rnacentral:SRP_RNA from 1 species